rnacentral:tRNA from 1 species
GGCACGAUACCAGAGUGGUUAAUGGCAAGGUUUGCAAAACCUUUGUUCGCGGGUUCGAAUCCCGCUCGUGCCU